UUUUUUUUGUGUUGUU
rnacentral:sRNA from 1 species